rnacentral:rRNA from 1 species
UACGGGGGGGCUAGCGUUGUUCGGAAUUACUGGGCGUAAAGGGCUUGUAGGCGGCCAACUAAGUCAGACGUGAAAUCCCUCGGCUUAACCGAGGAACUGCGUCUGAUACUGGAUGGCUGGAAUCCGGGAGAGGGAUGCGGAAUUCCAGGUGUAGCGGUGAAAUGCGUAGAUAUCUGGAGGAACACCGGUGGCGAAGGCGGCAUCCUGGACCGGCAUUGACGCUGAGGAGCGAAAGCCAGGGGAGCAAACGGG